UACGGAGGGUGCAAACGUUGCUCGGAAUCAUUGGGCGUAAAGCGCACGUAGGCGGUCGGCUAUGUCGGAUGUGAAAGCCUCGGGCUUAACCCGAGAAGGGCAUCCGAAACUGGCCGGCUUGAGUACGGAAGAGGGUCUCGGAAUUCCCGGUGUAGAGGUGAAAUUCGUAGAUAUCGGGAGGAACACCAGAGGCGAAGGCGGAGACCUGGGCCGAUACUGACGCUGAGGUGCGAAAGCGUGGGGAGCAAACAGG
rnacentral:rRNA from 1 species